rnacentral:lncRNA from 1 species
CCAGGUGAGCAUCUUACAGCCUGGAGCAGCGCCCACACCCCCAGGUGAGCAUCUGACAGCCUGGAGCAGCACCCACACUCCCAGGUGAGUAUCUGACAGCCUGGAGUAGCACCCACACCCCCAGGUGAGCAUCUGACAGCCUGGAACAGCAUCCACUCCCCCAGGUGAGCAUCUGACCACAUUGAAUGGCAUCCUCACCUCCAGGUGAGCAUCUGACAGCCUGGAACCGCACCCACACCCCCAGGCGAGCAUCUGACAGCCUGGAGCAGCACCCACACCCCCAGGUGAGCAUCUGACAGCCUGGAGCAGCACCCACACCCCCAGGGGAGCAUCUGACCGCAUGGAAUGUCAUCCUCACUUCCAGGUGAGCAUCCGACAGCCUGGAGCAGCACCCACACCCCCAGGUGAGCAUCUGACCGCAUGGAAUGGCAUCCUCACCUCCAGGUGAGCAUCCGACAGCCUGGAACAUAAUUCUCCAACCCCAGGUGAGCAUCUGACAGCCUGGAACAGCAUCCACACCCCCAGGUGAGCAUCUGACCGCAUGGAAUGGCAUCCUCACCUCCAGGUGAGAAUCUGACACCAUAAAACAGCACCCUGCACCCCCAGGUGAGCAUCUGACAGCCUGGAACAGCAUCCACACCCCCAGGUGAGCAUCUGACCGCAUGGAAUGGCAUCCUCACCUCCAGGUGAGCAUCCGACAGCCUGGAACAGAAUUCUCCAACCACAGGUGAGGAUCUGACAGCCUGGAACAGAACCCCACUCUUCCAGGUGAGAAUCUGACGCAUAAAACAGCACCCUGCAACCCCAGGUGAGCAUCUGACAGUCUGGAACAGCAUCCACACCCCCAGGCGAGCAUCUGACUGUAUGGAAUGACAUCCUCACAUCCAGGUGAGAAUAUGACAGAAUAAAGCAGCACCCUGCACCCCCAGUUGAGCAUCUGACAGCCUGGAACAGCACCCACACUCCCAGGUGAGCAUCUGACAGCCUGGAGCAGUACCCACACCCCCAGGUGUGCAUCUGACAGCCUGAAACAGCACCCUCCACCACCAGAUGAGCAUCUGACAACCAGAACCUGCACCACACACCCCAAGGUGGGCAUCCGAUGGCAUGGGACAGCACCCCCACUCACAGGUGAUGUGACUGCGUGGAACAGCACAUCCCCUCAGGUGAGCAUCUGACAGGAUAAAACAGCACCCCACAACCCCAGGUGAUCAUUUGCCAGCCAGGAACGGCAACCCACAUCCCCAGGUAAGUGUCUGACAGCCUAGAGCGGCACCUGCACACUUAGGUAAGAAUCUGAAAGCCUGGAUCAACACUCGAAUCUUCAGGUGAGCAUCUGACAGCCUGGAGCAGCAGUGCCCACCCCUGGGUGAGGAUGCUCACCUGAGGUUGGGAGUGCCAGUCCAGGCUGCCAGAUCCUCACCUGGGGAUGGAAGGUGCCAUUGUAGGUUUUUGGAUGUUCACAUGGGGGUUAAGGGUGGUGUUCCGGGUUAUCAGAUGCUCACCUGGGGACGCGUGGAAAACCAUGCCCACCACAAGGUGAGCAUAUGACAGCCCGGAACAACACCCUCCACCCCCAGGUGAGCAUCUGACAGCCUGGAACAGAACCCCACAACUUCAAAUAAGAAUUUGAUAAGUGGGAAAAAGCUCCCCGCCCUCAGGUGAGUGUCUGACAGCCUGGAACAGCACCCCACAACUGCAGGUGAGCAUCUGAUAGCCUGGAUAGGCACUCCACACAGCCAGGUGAGCAGCUGAAAGCCUGGAAUGGUAACCCACAUGCAGGUGAGCAUCCGACAGCCUGGAACAGCAGCUCACAUCCCCAGGUAAGAUUCCAACAGCAUGGAACAAGACCACUGCCCCCAGGUGAGCAUCUGGCAGCCUGGUAAAACAACCCCCUUCAGGUGAGCAUCCGACAGCCUGGAACAGCAGCUCACAUCCCCAGGUAAGAUUCCAACAGCAUGGAACAAGACCACUGCCCCCAGGUGAGCAUCUGGCAGCCUGGAAAAACAACCCCCUUCAGGUGAGCAUCUGACAGCCUGGAACAGCACCCUCCACCUUCAGGUGAGAAUAUGACAGCCUGAAACAGCACCCCACACCCCAGGCAAAAAUCUGACAGCAUGGAACAAGACCACUGCCCCCAGGUGAGCAUUUGACAGCCCGGGAAAGUACCCUCCAUGCACAGGUGAGCAUCUGACAGCCUGGAAACCCCCCCACUGCUUCCAGGUGAACAUCUGAUAGCCUGGAACAGAACCCCAGUUCUCCAAGUAAGGAUCUGAAAGCACGGAACAGCACUCUCACCCCCAGGGGAGCAUCUGACAACCUAGAACAGCACCCUCACCCCGAGGUGGGCAUCUGGCAGCAUAAAACAGCACCCCUACUGGCAGAUGAGCAUAUGACAGCGUGGAACAGCACCCACGCACCCAGGUGAGCAUCUGACAGCCUGGAACAGCACCCCACACCCCCAGGUGAGCAUCUGACAGCCUGGAACAGCACCCACACCCCCAGGUGAGCAUCUGACAGCCUGGAGCAGCACCCUACACCCCCAGGGGAGCAUCUGACAGUCUGGAGCAGCACCCACACCCCCAGGUGAGCAUCUGACAUCCUGGAACAGCACCCCACGCCCCCAGGUGAGCACCUGACAGCCUGGAACAGCACCCCACACCCCCAGGUGAGCAUCUGACAGCCUGGAACAGCACCCACACCCCCAGGUGAGCAUCUGACAGCCUGGAGCAGCACCCCACACCUCCAGGGGAGCAUCUGACAUCCUGGAACAGCACCCCACACCCCCAGUGAGCAUCUGACAACCUGGAGCAGCACCCCACACCUCCAGGGGAGCAUCUGACAUCCUGGAACAGCACCCCACACCUCCAGGGGGAGCAUCUGACAGCCUGGAGCAACACCCCACACCUCCAGGGGAGCAUCUGACAGCCUGGAACAGCACUCCACACCUCCAGGGGAGCAUCUGACAGCAUGGACAAGUCCUGCCCCCCGGUUAGUGUCUGAAUUCCUGGAAUAUGUGCUGUCCUUUUCCACCAGAACUCCAGCCCUUAAGAAAAUCAGAAGCCCUGGCAGGCACAUUGCCUCUGUGCUGUGCUUUUACCCAGCGAAGCAUCAGGGCAGACAGCCAAUUUCAACACUGCUCUUGGCUGGGAAGUGCCCUCAUCUCUGGCAGCCCCCACAGAGAAAGUGCAGGGCCCCGGGGCUGUGGCUGCCUCAGGGCAGGUCUCCCUUGUGACAGCCUCUUGUCAUGGGCCUGGGAGUGGACCCCUCCCAUCCCUGCCGUGCAUCCUGUUGAGUAGACAGCUCAGGCUAGUACCCAAGAGGGUGGCCAGCAGAUCACAGGGGAUGUCCCUUUUGUCUUAGCUGUUUAUGGGCUGGAGGAACCACUGUUCAGCCACAUCUCCUCUCCUGCCCCUCCUGCAUUCACCCGAGGUUGAUGGGAGCUCUGUGGGGGGAGACAGGCAGGGGAGGGGCCAGGCAACACCUGGGCAUAUCCCCAGGGUGCCUCCUCUGAUCCCCAGGAGGGGCAGCACCCACCCUCUUCUUUUUCCAAUUUGUUUUUAUUGUGGUUAAAUAUACAUAACGUAAAAUUUA